UGUAUAAUGGGUCAGCGACUUAUAUUCUGUAGCAAGGUUAACCGAAUAGGGGAGCCGAAGGGAAACCGAGUCUUAACUGGGCGUUAAGUUGCAGGGUAUAGACCCGAAACCCGGUGAUCUAGCCAUGGGCAGGUUGAAGGUUGGGUAACACUAACUGGAGGACCGAACCGACUAAUGUUGAAAAAUUAGCGGAUGACUUGUGGCUGGGGGUGAAAGGCCAAUCAAACCGGGAGAUAGCUGGUUCUCCCCGAAAGCUAUUUAGGUAGCGCCUCGUGAAUUCAUCUCCGGGGGUAGAGCACUGUUUCGGCAAGGGGGUCAUCCCGACUUACCAACCCGAUGCAAACUGCGAAUACCGGAGAAUGUUAUCACGGGAGACACACGGCGGGUGCUAACGUCCGUCGUGAAGAGGGAAACAACCCAGACCGCCAGCUAAGGUCCCAAAGUCAUGGUUAAGUGGGAAACGAUGUGGGAAGGCCCAGACAGCCAGGAUGUUGGCUUAGAAGCAGCCAUCAUUUAAAGAAAGCGUAAUAGCUCACUGGUCGAGUCGGCCUGCGCGGAAGAUGUAACGGGGCUAAACCAUGCACCGAAGCUGCGGCAGCGACACUAUGUGUUGUUGGGUAGGGGAGCGUUCUGUAAGCCUGCGAAGGUGUACUGUGAGGUAUGCUGGAGGUAUCAGAAGUGCGAAUGCUGACAUAAGUAACGAUAAAGCGGGUGAAAAGCCCGCU
rnacentral:rRNA from 1 species